rnacentral:lncRNA from 1 species
AGGAGGUCACAGCAGCAUUAUUUUAUUUUGACUUUGGCCUGAUAUAAAAUGGAUUGAUUUUUAUUCAGGCAAAAUCCACUGUAUAUGGACUCGGACUCUGAUGAGCAGUCUGGUGAACCUAAGAAUCUACGUCUUUCACGCCCGCCUGAUGUGAGAGCUCCAGUAGCAUGGUCCUCACAACUGGCAAGAAAUGAAAUGAUGGCAGCAUCCGCCGGCGGCGCUGGGCCGUACCACCAGCUGCAGGUCCCACAGAGAGAGGGUACCAGUAUAUUACCAUAUGGUUCUGUGCACACCCCAUUUCGUG